rnacentral:rRNA from 1 species
UAACGCGUGGGCAACCUGCCCCACACUGGGGGACAACAGCUGGAAACGGCUGCUAAUACCGCAUAAGCGCACAGCUUCGCAUGAAGCAGUGUGAAAAAUUCCGGUGGUGUGGGAUGGGCCCGCGUCUGAUUAGCUAGUUGGUGAGGUAACGGCUCACCAAGGCGACGAUCAGUAGCCGGCCUGAGAGGGUGGACGGCCACAUUGGGACUGAGACACGGCCCAGACUCCUACGGGAGGCAGCAG